rnacentral:rRNA from 1 species
CCAGACUCCUACGGGAGGCAGCAGUGGGGAAUAUUGGACAAUGGGCGCAAGCCUGAUGCAGCGACGCCGCGUGGGGGAUGACGGCCUUCGGGUUGUAAACUCCUUUCGUCAGGGACGAAGCGAAAGUGACGGUACCUGGAUAAGAAGCACCGGCUAACUACGUGCCAGCAGCCGCGGUAAUACGUAGGGUGCGAGCGUUGUCCGGAAUUACUGGGCGUAAAGAGCUCGUAGGUGGUUUGUCGCGUCGUUUGUGUAAGUCCACGGCUUAACUGUGGGAUGGCAGGCGAUACGGGCAUAACUUGAGUGCUGUAGGGGAGACUGGAAUUCCUGGUGUAGCGGUGAAAUGCGCAGAUAUCAGGAGGAACACCGAUGGCGAAGGCAGGUCUCUGGGCAGUAACUGACGCUGAGGAGCGAAAGCAUGGGUAGCGAACAGGAUUAGAUACCCUGGUAGUCCAUGCCGUAAACGGUGGGCGCUAGGUGUGAGUCCCUUACACGGGGUUCGUGCCGUAGCUAACGCAUUAAGCGCCCCGCCUGGGGAGUACGGCCGCAAGGCUAAAACUCAAAGGAAUUGACGGGGGCCCGCACAAG